GCACGGUGGUGCUAUGGAUAGCACUAUUGCUUCACCGCAAGAACAUCCCAGGUUCGAAUCCUGGCCCGGGCC
rnacentral:tRNA from 1 species